GUGCAGCAAUGCGUUCCUCCACGGGUACCACAAAAGACUAUAAACUCUCAGAGAGCUUCUACAGUUUCUCCGAGUUGAUUACAGUUUCCACCAGCAGCUAUCUGGGACAUGCCGUACCACAUCAGUCCCUGGGCUGCAUUUCCACAUGCGGAGUGGCUCAUCAGCAGCACCUGAAAUAGCAGCUGAGGCCUGGGGAGGGACGAUGCAGGAGGGUGCCCUGCCUCGCCAUCUGCUUCAGAUCUAGGGUUUGGGACUGGGGGAGUUGUCUGUGCCUCUUCUGGAGGCUGGAUACAAGACAGGAUAAAUACCAUCAAAGAUAAUGAAAGACAGAUGGAUGUGAACUAAAGGCCUGCAGGGUGACUGAAUCUGUACCAGCCCUGCUCCGCAAGACCGUCAUGGCGUGCCAGGUCCUGGAUCAAACAGGGAAGCACUGGAGGGAUCGCUACAAUGAGCAGUGACAAGGUUCAGAUGACCGACAGGGAGAGGCACAGAAAUUUUAGUUGGCAUCUUAUACUGUAAGAAGUGGACAAGCAAAUGAGCCAAAAACCCACUGUCAAGUUUAAAAGACAUUUUGUCUCAAAAUAAAUUGCCAAAAUUCAACAUUUACUAUAGCCAGAAAUAGAACUAAUCAUCUGUGAUGCACCAUUCUGUGGCAAAAUGUAACCAAAUCUAAGCCUAAAAGCUUGAUGUUCAGUCAGUCACUUUACUGUGCUGCCUCAUUUAAAAGUCCAUCAAAAAUAAACUGUUAACUCAAACCAGAAUCUGUGAAAAAAAAAAAAAACACCUGCAAACUUCAACACAACCAUGAAGCCAUUAGUGACUUAGCUGCAAACAGCAAUCACAUGACAAAAAUUAAUGGACUUUCCAGCUGAACUGCAGGCUGUGUUUAGACAAAGCAAUGAAGAGGCAAAUGUGGAAACAAAUUAAUAAUGUAAGUAGCAAAAUAUCUUUUGGAUGGAAACCAGCAUUUUCCCAGCGCUGGUGGACAUGAUGACUCUAUUUUCAAUUUUGUAAAAUAAAGAUUUAUAUAAAUUCAA